UAAAUACUAAUACCAGAUCGAUAGUGCACAAGUACCGUGAGGGAAAGGUGAAAAGAACUGAGGUGAUCAGAGUGAAAUAGAACCUGAAACCAUUUGCUUACAAUCAUUCAGAGCCCUAUGUAGCAAUACAGGGUGAUGGACUGCCUUUUGCAUAAUGAGCCUGCGAGUUGUGGUGUCUGGCAAGGUUAAGCAAACGCGAAGCCGUAGCGAAAGCGAGUCUGAAUAGGGCGCUUAGUCAGAUGCUGCAGACCCGAAACGAAGUGAUCUAUCCAUGAGCAAGUUGAAGCUAGUGUAAGAACUAGUGGAGGACUGAACCCAUAGGCGUUGAAAAGCCCCGGGAUGACUUGUGGAUAGGGGUGAAAGGCCAAUCAAACUUCGUGAUAGCUGGUUCUCUCCGAAAUAUAUUUAGGUAUAGCGUUGUGUCGUAAUAUAAGGGGGUAGAGCACUGAAUGGGCUAGGGCAUACACCAAUGUACCAAACCCUAUCAAACUCCGAAUACCUUAUAUGUAAUCACAGCAGUCAGGCGGCGAGUGAUAAAAUCCGUCGUCAAGAGGGAAACAACCCAGACUACCAGCUAAGGUCCCUAAAUCUUACUUAAGUGGAAAACGAUGUGAAGUUACUUAAACAACCAGGAGGUUGGCUUAGAAGCAGCCAUCCUUUAAAGAAAGCGUAAUAGCUCACUGGUCUAGUGAUUUUGCGCGGAAAAUAUAACGGGGCUAAAGUAAGUACCGAAGCUGUAGACUUGCACACAACUUAGAUUAUUUAAGUUUAGAAUAUGAGAAACUAAGUUAUAUGUUUAGUUAUAUUUUUACUGAUUUUUAUAGAGUAAAGAUAGAAAUAAAACUUAGUAAAAUCAGUAAAAAUAUUCUUAGACUAAAGUUAAGUAGUUUAAGUUGUGUGCAAGUGGUAGGAGAGCGUUCUAUUUGCGUCGAAGGUAUACCGGUAAGGAGUGCUGGAGCGAAUAGAAGUGAGCAUGCAGGCAUGAGUAGCGAUAAUUAAUGUGAGAAUCAUUAACGCCGUAAACCCAAGGUUUCCUACGCGAUGCUCGUCAUCGUAGGGUUAGUCGGGUCCUAAGUCGAGUCCGAAAGGGGUAGACGAUGGCAAAUUGGUUAAUAUUCCAAUACCAACAUUAGUGUGCGAUGGAAGGACGCUUAGGGCUAAGGGGGCUAGCGGAUGGAAGUGCUAGUCUAA
rnacentral:rRNA from 1 species